rnacentral:rRNA from 1 species
ACGAACGCUGGCGGCGUGCUUAACACAUGCAAGUCGAACGGAAAGGCCCUGCUUGCAGGGUACUCGAGUGGCGAACGGGUGAGUAACACGUGGGUGAUCUGCCCUGCACUUCGGGAUAAGCUUGGGAAACUGGGUCUAAUACCGGAUAGGAGCCAUUUUUAGUGUGAUGGUUGGAAAGUUUUUUCGGUGUAGGAUGAGCUCGCGGCCUAUCAGCUUGUUGGUGGGGUAAUGGCCUACCAAGGCGGCGACGGGUAGCCGGCCUGAGAGGGUGGACGGCCACAUUGGGACUGGGAUACGGCCCAGACUCCUACGGGGGGCAGCAGUGGGGAAUAUUGCAAAAUGGGCGCAAGCCUGAUGCAGCGACGCCGCGUGGGGGAUGACGGCCUUCGGGUUGUAAACUCCUUUCGCUAGGGACGAAGCUUUUUGUGACGGUACCUAGAUAAGAAGCACCGGCUAACUACGUG